UUAGCCAAUAGGAAGGCCGAAUGCUCAUCGAGAUGUGCUCAUCCACGCCGCGUCGUCUUCUCAGCUUCUGCUUGCCAACCUGUUACAUGUUCCAUGGCUGCAGGAUUGACGCAAAAUAUGUUUUGACGCCGUAACCACAACCCAGCACACUGCUUCCUUUCAUGUGCACCAUCCGUCUGCACAACUGAAGUAGCCGGUUCAAAACCAUCCAUGGGACAAACUUGGGUCACAGGGUUGUUCACGGAAGGCGGCAGCUUCUGAGGCACAAGCUGUCCUCUAAAGAGACGUCGGCUGAAGGCUACGGUAGAUAGCCCACAAAAGGAAGAUGAAGAUGAGAGUGAGACUGCAGAAGCCACGGACAUCACACUUGAUGACGAGUCUGCUAUAGCACACUAAAACACCAGUUUUGGUGGUGAUGUGGAACCUACUAGUGCUGCUCAUCAUGACGAAAACAUCGCUAUUUUCACUGUUAUGGCCGCCGAACCAGCAAACAAUACCAAUAUUGAGUUUUUGCGGGAGUCUGUGGGCGCAGUUGAAGUGUCAAGCACGCCGAACGUUCCACCACCAGAUACAGAGCUCCAGUUAACACCCAAUCAUACAUCACCAGACUUCGAACACAUUGAGCAUGACUACGGCUACGCAGCGCACAAAUCACGAGAUACAUAGGCACCCAAACACAUUUUUACCCUGUUCUGGCACUACCGCCAGCUCAGUACCCUUUUUUAUGCAGGCUUAAGUUACAACACUUUCUGUAGCAAUUGUAGAAACAAAGCCAAAAUUCCAGAACACACGGUCAGUGAUACUGUUCUGUUAACGUUAAUGCGCCUCAGGCUUGGUCUCCUGUAUGCAGACCUGGCAUACAGAUUCAGUUUGUGUGUGUCUCUUGCAUGAAAACUUUUCGCAAGAUGGUGGCCACGCUGGCAGACAAAAGCAGAAUUUAUUUGAUUGCAUAGCUUCCUCUUGAAACAAUUCAAUGGUUUCUUCCACACACCUUCGCACAGAGUGGAUACAAGGGCACAACAUGUAUCAUUGAUUGUCUAAAAUUACACAUGCAGCGCCCAAAGAAAUUGUAUGCACGGGCUCAGACGUACAGC